rnacentral:lncRNA from 1 species
UCUCUCUCUCCAUAUAUAUAUACAUAUAUGUUGUGUAUAUAUUACGAGUGAAAUAAAUCACCUUAUUAACUGAAUAACAAGAAGAAACUUUUAAAAAAGAAACAAACUCAAGCUCAAAAAAAUUACAAAGGAAAAAAGAAAUAGUAACCCAACUUAUGAUACCUGUGCAAUCCUCUACAGAAAGAAGAAGCUACAGAACAGAUAAAAUUGUAACCAAAUGUGUGCCCAUCAAAUGGAAGAAUUCACCUGGAAAUACAAUAACAAGUACUGUAUGUUGAGACAAAAGACAGACAUGAAACACACAUUUCAGAGCUCAGAAAAGGAAAUGGCACAAAGGACAGUGAUUCCUGAGACACAGAAAACAAAUGUGGCUCUUCAAAUAAUUUUGUAAAAUAUGUUUUUGAGCAAGAGGAUUCUGGGAAGACGACAGAGUAGAAAACACCAGGAAUGUCUCCUCACCUAGGCAACAGUCUCACCGGGUCUUCCACUUAAGAAUCUUAUGAUGCUGCAGUGAAGUUACUGGUUGGGAUUCUGGUCUCCUCUCAAGGCUCAACUGGGAAAAGAUCCUUUUCCAAUCUCAUAGGAUUGUUGGCAGCAUUCACUUUCUUGUGGACUGUCAGACUGAAGGCCUCACCGCCUUGCUGGCUAUUAGUCAGGAAUACCCUUAGAUUCUUGUCACACGGUCCUUCCAACACGAUCACUUCCUUUCUCAAAGACAGCAAAGGAGAGAGUGUCUCCCACCAAGACAGGUUUAAUCUUAAGCAACAUUUUUGUGAAAGUGUCAUCCCACCACCUUUGCUGUAUUGAUUAUACACAAGUCACAAUCCUUGUCCACAUUCAGCAGAGAUUACUCAAGGUAUGAUUGCAAGGAGAGGGGCCACCUUAGAGUACGUACUCCGCACACAGUAUAAAAAUAGCCCUCUGGCUCCCACAUCACUCUAUUUUUGAUGCCUCGGAGCCAAUCAUUUUCCACUCUUAUCUGUCAUCGUUUUUUUUUUUUCCUGUUCCUACCUCCAUAUAUCUAAAUAAUAUUAUCAUAUGACUACUUUUUAAAACCAUCAGUUUUAGAAAUGCUUUAAUUUCCUGCUACUGAAGAUAAGCAUUUAUCUGUCUCAUAUAUCGCACUGCAUCAGCACAUCCAUCACACACACACUCAUACUCACACAGACUCAUAUAGUAUCCAUAGUCUAUAGGUUAAAAAC